AGAGUUUGAUCUUGGCUCAGGACGAACGCUGGCGGCGUGCCUCAUACAUGCAAGUCGAACGCUUUUUCUUUCACCGGAGCUUGCUCCACCGAAAGAAAAAGAGUGGCGAACGGGUGAGUAACACGUGGGUAACCUACCCAUCAGAAGGGGAUAACACUUGGAAACAGGUGCUAAUACCGUAUAACACUAUUUUCCGCAUGGAAGAAAGUUGAAAGGCGCUUUUGCGUCACUGAUGGAUGGACCCGCGGUGCAUUAGCUAGUUGGUGAGGUAACGGCUCACCAAGGCCACGAUGCAUAGCCGACCUGAGAGGGUGAUCGGCCACACUGGGACUGAGACACGGCCCAGACUCCUACGGGAGGCAGCAGUAGGGAAUCUUCGGCAAUGGACGAAAGUCUGACCGAGCAACGCCGCGUGAGUGAAGAAGGUUUUCGGAUCGUAAAACUCUGUUGUUAGAGAAGAACAAGGAUGAGAGUAGCACGUUCAUCCCUUGACGGUAUCUAACCAGAAAGCCACGGCUAACUACGUGCCAGCAGCCGCGGUAAUACGUAGGUGGCAAGCGUUGUCCGGAUUUAUUGGGCGUAAAGCGAGCGCAGGCGGUUUCUUAAGUCUGAUGUGAAAGCCCCCGGCUCAACCGGGGAGGGUCAUUGGAAACUGGGAGACUUGAGUGCAGAGGAGGAGAGUGGAAUUCCAUGUGUAGCGGUGAAAUGCGUAGAUAUAUGGAGGAACACCAGUGGCGAAGGCGGCUCUCUGGUCUGUAACUGACGCUGAGGCUCGAAAGCGUGGGGAGCGAACAGGAUUAGAUACCCUGGUAGUCCACGCCGUAAACGAUGAGUGCUAAGUGUUGGAGGGUUUCCGC
rnacentral:rRNA from 1 species